rnacentral:tRNA from 1 species
GGGGCUAUAGCUCAGUGGUAGAGCGCUUGCCUAGAAAGUAUGAGGCCCUGAGUUCGAUCCUCAGCACCA